GCUGCUGAGGCUCCGCAGCCAGGAGCUGACCGUGGGGUGGCUGCGGGCCUUCUGCAGGUCCCCCACAUUCUGCCCCAGCAGGGUGGUCACGUUGC
rnacentral:pre_miRNA from 17 species